UACGGAAGGUCCGGGCGUUAUCCGGAUUUAUUGGGUUUAAAGGGAGCGUAGGCCGUUUGUUAAGCGUGUUGUGAAAUGUCGGGGCUUAACCUGGGCAUUGCAGCGCGAACUGGCAGACUUGAGUGCGCGGGAAGUAGGCGGAAUUCGUCGUGUAGCGGUGAAAUGCUUAGAUAUGACGAAGAACUCCGAUUGCGAAGGCAGCCUGCUGUAGCGUAACUGACGCUGAAGCUCGAAAGCGUGGGUAUCGAACAGG
rnacentral:rRNA from 1 species